GGGUUCACUGUGACGUCAGCAGCGCAGCUUGCUACUGCGCCUACAGGUCGUGAACAUUGCAUAUCCUUGAGCUGAAACAAUGUAAAAUAGUUAAAAUCAUAAGCAAGAUAGAUUGCAAGGCCAACGAGAAAGGCAGUCCACGGCACGUAUGUAACUUAGGCUUGUAGGUGGAGAAGAUUCUCUCAACGGAUGCAGUGCUGGCAGGUGAAGAAAAUAGGCAUGAAGUGGUUUUUCUCAAUCCUGCCACAGACUCAUCACACCGACAAGUCAAUGAAAUGUGAUGGGUACUGUACUUCCUGGAGAGGAGACAGUAUCUGCGGGAGAGGAUAAAAGUACCUCUGGCAUGUCUUUGGUACUUCACCCAACACACCAAUUCGCAGCACCUUCUAUCACUUGACAGCAAUCUAGACAAUUCUAACAGUUUACAAUGUACAAUGAACUCAUCCCAUGCCUGAGACCAGCAAUCACAAAAGGGUUGUAUCACUUAUGUAGAUAUUUAAUCUUUACUUUGUGAAAUCAAGAUUAUAGAGACAGACUUGAACCGAUGUAAAACUCGAGAUUUUGGAUAAAUGGAUUAUUUAUCUGAUUGUAAGCUGGUGAAACCAACAAAUGUAACAUGGUAAGAAUGCAACUAACAAAUUCUGCUAAAUCAAGUUUAGCCUACAUGGCCUAUUUCUCUUGUGGUAG